rnacentral:rRNA from 1 species
UACGGGGGGAGCAAGCGUUGUUCGGAUUUACUGGGCGUAAAGGGCGUGUAGGCGGCCAGCACAAGUCAGUUGUGAAAUCUCCGAGCUUAACUCGGAAAGGUCAACUGAUACUGUGCGGCUAGAGUGCGGAAGGGGCAACUGGAAUUCUUGGUGUAGCGGUGAAAUGCGUAGAUAUCAAGAGGAACACCUGCGGCGAAGGCGGGUUGCUGGGCCGACACUGACGCUGAGGCGCGAAAGCCAGGGGAGCGAACGGG